UUUUACAGAGGGUACCAUGAGAAGCGUUCCAAGAGCUGCUCUGUACCUGCAGUAGGAAAAGCUACAUACUCAAUGGGGACUUGUGAACUACAGGCAGGAAAGCAUCCCCAAAUGGCAGAAAUCAUGACAAGGCAGAUUGCCUGAAGCCAUGUUGAAGAAGCAGAUGAUAUGGCCCAUCCAAAAGCAGCAUUUUUCAGUAUGUGCAGGGGUCAACUUUACAGCUACAAAAAUUAUUAUUGUAACUUGGAAAUCAGUGGUCCCAGCCCUCAGGAUAAAGGCCUAUGGAGUGCUUUGCUGGAGAGGCUCUAUCAACCUGCACAGAGAGUAGCUAUCUGCCCACUUUUUUUUCUAUUCAACACACAGCCCCCAAACCCAAAACACAGAUAAAACUGAUGCACCCCUGACUACAUGGAAGAUAGAAUGUUCAUUGACAAAUUUCAGAAAGUAGAAAACCAGGCAACCAACCUGCUAGCUCUUACUGUAAUAAACCUUGUAUUAUGAAGUUACAAAAACAAGUCACAGAAAUUUAGCAUAAGUUCCUCCACAACUCAUAAGGCAAAACGUUACAAAAAUAAGUUUCCAGUGGAUGUGAAACAUAACAGGUAACCUUAUCCCAGAAUAUCAGAUGCCAAUCUGCAAGAACAGGAAACAGAACUGCUUUCAAGAAGAGACAUGGAUUAAAUAUAUAAAACCCAAGAAAUUAUAUUCUCUGACACUGUAAUGUCAGGGUGUUUCCUUUCUCCUACCCAGCAUAAUAAAAAUGGUAGGAAAACAUACCUACAGUCCUAGUCACUCAGCACAAAUGUUUCUGGUACAGGCUAUGGCUGCCUUCAAGAACCCCGACCCAAUUUCCCCUACACACCACUUC